rnacentral:lncRNA from 1 species
AUGGGCACCCUACAGCCAGGACUCAUUGGACUGACCCUGAAAAGCCAUUUUUCUGGCCUGCAUGUGUCAGGACAGGAGGCAAGGGUGCACUCCUCACCAUGCACCCUUACCUCAGCCCUGCAUCAGCCCCAGGGUGGGCGUUCCCCCGGUCUGUUGGAGUGGCCCUGGGGACCAGCACCAUCCAUAGUGCCUUUCCCAGCUCACCAGUGUCAAGUACUACAGAUCCACCCCACUGGAGAAAGAAGGCACCUCCUCUUGCUGUCAGCCUUUCAGAGACGCAUCCAUCCACCCUUUGACUCAUCAGCUGAUGAAGAAACUUGUCAUAAGCGCAAUUCCCUGAGGAUUUGUUAGCUAAUGGAGCAAAGCAAGAGGAGGAGAAGCAUAACACAGCUGAAAGUAUUUUACAGAAGCCCUGUUGGUUGGCUUACAAGAGAAAGUUUUUCUGGACCAUAGUUAGAUAUCAAGGCCAUAGCUACUCUGAUUACAUGCUCCCUGUAACAUUCAUGAUGAUAGGCAAAUUAACUUAUUUGAUGGUUCUACCACAAACUGAUGUUAUUUACUUGCAUGACAGCUUGAUAAGGAAAUUAAAAGUCUCAUAAUUGCAUCUCCAUUGAGCUUAGUUUUUUGAUUUACAACUAAUUGCUCCAAAUUAUCAUGCAUGGGUGCUACUACAGACAGCACAUACCUGUAGCAACUCCACAUCCUCCGUGGAGCAAGAGGAGAACUCAGACAGCUGGUUACCUUCUGCUGUUCCAGCAGGGUUGAUGGGACCCUUCCCCAGCCUGCUUGAGACCCCUUAGUCACGCAGACAGAACCAGACCUCAGCAUUGCACUCAGCACACCUGUGUGACAGAGGUUAUGUGGACAUGGUAGACAAGACUUUAGGAGAAAUGAGCAAGGGAAUGGGUCAAUAUGGAGGAAGCUGUAAAAAGACGUGGGCAAAUGAGAAGGGGCAGUACUAUUACAGAAGUUUCUAGAAGUAAAAUAGAAUCUGGGAUGAGAAUGAGAAUAAGAUCCUUUCUCUUGCUUUCGUAGGUCUUCCCAAGCUCUAGGGUCACCACCUCCAUCCUCUCUCCAUGGGCACUUAUACCUCCUCACAUCGACACUCUAAAUGUCCCAGUCCAUUAACCAUUAAAACCACAUUCUUCCCAGGGGAGAGUCCUCUGCUUUCCCUGCUAACCCCAGCACAUCCUCCUCUUUUGAUGCCACCAAGAGGAAUGGAAACUAGGGGGAAGGCAGUCAGACCAUGACCUGGGAUUCACUUUAUUGCAAGAGCAGAAAGUUGAAGGAACAAGGACAAAGAGGAAUGGUAAGCAGGGAUUUCUGCUUCUGCUCCUGUCACAGGUAAGGA